UAGUGAUGUGGGCAUUUAUAAAGCAGGUCUCUAAAGUACUCCCAAGUAUCGAAAAAGAUUUCCUCAUCCAUCUAUAAGAAACUUGUGAUGGCUCUUCAAAACUA